rnacentral:rRNA from 1 species
AACGAACGCUGGCGGCAUGCCUAACACAUGCAAGUCGAACGAGACCUUCGGGUCUAGUGGCGCACGGGUGCGUAACGCGUGGGAACCUGCCCUUAGGUUCGGAAUAACUCCCCGAAAGGGGUGCUCAUACCGGCUAAUGUCUUCGGACCAAAGAUUUAUCGCCCUUGGAUGGGCCCGCGUUGGAUUAGCUAGUUGGUAGGUUAAAAGCCUACCAAGGCGACGACCCAUAGCUGGUCUGAGAGGAUGAUCAGCCACACUGGGACUGAGACACGGCCCAGACUCCUACGGGAGGCAGCGGUGGGUAAUAUGAGACAAUAGGCUAAAGCCUAAUCCAGCAAUGCGGCGUGAGUGAUGAAGGCAUUAGGGUUGUAAAACUAUUUUAGCCAGGAUGAAAAUGACAGUACCGGGAAAAUAAGCUCCGGCUAACACUGUG